AGUAUCGUGGUUGGAAAUAGUGGAGCACUUGGCAUGUCACUUAUCUGCCUCUCAUCCUCUCGCCCCUUGUGCUGUGGCUCUCUCUCUAAUAUGUUUGUGUUAUUUUUUUUUUACAUUUCGUAUUCACGAAAUAAUUUUUCGCCUGAAGAUAGCUGUCCUGUCUCUUUGCUUUGCUGUUUCGUCCCUCAGUCUCCAGUUCCUCUGGCUCAUUCUGCCAGGUAUGCCUGACGCCUCGUCGGGUCGUUCCACCGUUCACAGACUCCCAGGAUUCAGCACUAUUGCUUCUCGCCCGCAGUCUAACCGGUUCCAUCUCCACAGCUUGUUCAUCUGACGACAGAUAUAUGUAUUAAGGAUUGUAACAAAAAUUUAUGAAUUUAAUUGAAAAACAUAUCCAUUCCUCGAUUAAAUUCGUUAGCCAUCAAUCAUA